GGUUGUCGAAGUAGCACUACGCGAGCGAGUGUGGUACAACAAAUAUUUGCCUGUGCAUAGUUCAUACGUAUCAGAGAUCAGUUAUACAAGUUAUUUAGGCGGUUGAAACAAUUUCCUCAAUUUUACUAGUCAUUUGUCUAUACUAUCAAUACAAGAGAUAUACUAAACCAACCGAAGACGAGAACAGUUCCGAUAGCCUGGAGGUAUUGCAAAGGAGCCGAAUUGAUUUAUAUUUGAAUUGUAAUUCCAAAAAAGACAAAAAAAUUUCAACUACAUACCACCAGAUAAAACAACAUUGGACAUCUAAAGUGAAAAGCAAUCACAUUGAUUCUAUCUAUUCUUAGAUCUAUUCUUCUACUCUCUCUAUCUUCUUCUGAUUCUAUCUAAAUACGACGAUUGGAUUGUACAACAUGGAUAAUACUAAUGCCCGAAAAACAAUAAGAUUACUAUAUGAACACGUUUUUCUUUUUAAAAUUACUUAUAAAUGGAAAAAUAAUCAACGCUGUGUUUAUAUAAUGAUUAUAUGCAGGCGAAGAACGUAUUAUUUUUUGUAAGUGAAUUUAUCUAAAUGAAUCCCAAAUGGGAGUAAUUAUUCGAAAAGUAGUAUAAUAUGGAAAUAAAAUUUUUUUAGAUUUUGA